GAGCGUGAGGUUGUCAUUUAAUGUCUUGAAGACAAACGACACUAGUAAUUGUCAAAUCUAAAAGUCAAAGUCAACUUCACGGUUGCGUUGGCUAAAAUAGUUUUUAGUAGUCAAAAACGAAAAUUGAAUUGCUAACGUAGUUACUAUUAAAUUAUUUUUAAAAUGUCAAAGAAGAAGGAAAUAAAAAAAACCAAGACUUCGAAGACGACUUAGCAAAAGACACUCAGGAUAUAACCUCAAAAGGCAAGAGCAAAGGAAAAAAGAAGGGUAAAGGUGAUUGGAGUGAUAGUGAAGAAGAAAAUAUACCCAAAAAAGUUCAAUUAUCCGACGAGGAAGAUGUCCCUAAACCUGCAGCAAAAAAGGCACAGAAGAAAGGAAAGAAUAAAAAGAAAGGUGGUGAUAUAUCUGAUGAUGAGCAUGAUGACAGCAAGUCUGUUGUGAGCAAUGCUACAAGUACAGCAUCUAAGCCUGCUGCCAAAAAUAGCAAAAAGAAAAAAGGUAAAGGCAAGAAGGAUGAUGAUUGGUCGUCUGAAGGUAGUGAUGUGGAACUCCAAGAAGAACCAGAGGAAGAAGUUAAACCUGUCAGUAAAAAGAAAACUAAAAAUAAAAAGAAAAAUGUUGAAGUGGAGUCGGGAUGAUGAUGAUUCAAA